GGAGCGCCUCUCCCUGGCAGCAGCCAUUGGCUCCAGGCUCCAGCUUUCUUCGGGACCUUGAACUGGGGUCGUCAUAUGCCUCAAGAGGGAAGAAUCCAAUUUGGCUUUCGGGGAUGAUGUUGUAAUUGGUCAGAGAACUGAGGAUCCGAAUUGAGGCUGAAGGCUGGAGGAAGUGGGCAGUCCGGGCUCCAGAGGUUUCCAUCCGGGCCAUCCCGCCCCACCUGUAUCACAGGACGUCUGGUUGAUGGAGUGGAUGAAUACUGCUUUUGAGGGGUCACCAGUUACCUGCAUAGAAGCUUCGCAAAUCGGUGUCCAAACAGUUCUCCAGGAAGCGCCUCAGAGGUAAGAUGUGCCCCACCGGGGCGGUCCAGUCCGUCAAGAAGUCUUCCACGAUGUGGUGGAUGGCUGUGGGCCGAGGCAGCGCCCAGUUGGCAGGGCGGAAUCUCACCUC